UACGUAGGGGGCAAGCGUUGUCCGGAAUUAUUGGGCGUAAAGCGCGUGUAGGCGGCUCGGUAAGUCUGCUGUGAAAGUCCAGGGCUCAACCCUGGAAUGCCGGUGGAUACUGUCGAGCUAGAGUCCGGAAGAGGCGAGUGGAAUUCCUGGUGUAGCGGUGAAAUGCGCAGAUAUCAGGAGGAACACCAAUGGCGAAGGCAGCUCGCUGGGACGGUGCUGACGCUGAGACGCGAAAGCGUGGGGAGCAAACAGG
rnacentral:rRNA from 1 species